GAUUGAACGCUGGCGGCAUGCCUUACACAUGCAAGUCGAACGGUAACGCGGGGCAACCUGGCGACGAGUGGCGAACGGGUGAGUAACGCAUCGGAACGUGCCUAGUAGUGGGGGAUAGCCCGGCGAAAGCCGGAUUAAUACCGCAUACGACCUACGGGUGAAAGCGGGGGAUCGCAAGACCUCACGCUAUUAGAGCGGCCGAUGUCAGAUUAGGUAGUUGGUGAGGUAAAGGCUCACCAAGCCUUCGAUCUGUAGCUGGUCUGAGAGGACGACCAGCCACACUGGGACUGAGACACGGCCCAGACUCCUACGGGAGGCAGCAGUGGGGAAUUUUGGACAAUGGGCGCAAGCCUGAUCCAGCCAUGCCGCGUGCGGGAAGAAGGCCUUCGGGUUGUAAACCGCUUUUGUCAGGGAAGAAAAGCCUUAGGCUAAUACCCUAGGGUCAUGACGGUACCUGAAGAAUAAGCACCGGCUAACUACGUGCCAGCAGCCGCGGUAAUACGUAGGGUGCAAGCGUUAAUCGGAAUUACUGGGCGUAAAGCGUGCGCAGGCGGUUAUGCAAGACAGAUGUGAAAUCCCCGGGCUCAACCUGGGAACUGCAUUUGUGACUGCAUAGCUAGAGUGCGGCAGAGGGGGAUGGAAUUCCACGUGUAGCAGUGAAAUGCGUAGAUAUGNNNNGGAACACCGAUGGCGAAGGCAGCCCCCUGGGAUAACACUGACGCUCAUGUACGAAAGCGUGGGUAGCAAACAGGAUUAGAUACCCUGGUAGUCCACGCCCUAAACGAUGUCAACUGGUUGUUGGGGGAGUGAAAUCCCUUAGUAACGAAGCUAACGCGUGAAGUUGACCGCCUGGGGAGUACGGUCGCAAGAUUAAAACUCAAAGGAAUUGACGGGGACCCGCACAAGCGGUGGAUGAUGUGGAUUAAUUCGAUGCAACGCGAAAAACCUUACCUACCCUUGACAUGUCCAGAACCCUGCAGAGAUGCGGGGGUGCCCGAAAGGGAAUUGGAACACAGGUGCUGCAUGGCUGUCGUCAGCUCGUGUCGUGAGAUGUUGGGUUAAGUCCCGCAACGAGCGCAACCCUUAUCAUUAGUUGCUACGCAAUGGCACUCUAAUGAGACUGCCGGUGACAAACCGGAGGAAGGUGGGGAUGACGUCAAGUCCUCAUGGCCCUUAUGGGUAGGGCUUCACACGUCAUACAAUGGUCGGUACAGAGGGUUGCCAAGCCGCGAGGUGGAGCCAAUCCCAGAAAGCCGAUCGUAGUCCGGAUUGUUCUCUGCAACUCGAGAGCAUGAAGUCGGAAUCGCUAGUAAUCGCGGAUCAGCAUGUCGCGGUGAAUACGUUCCCGGGUC
rnacentral:rRNA from 1 species